rnacentral:misc_RNA from 1 species
UCCGAGUUGACCCCGGCAGUCUCUUACGAGUCCCCGCCAUAACGCGCUGGCAACAUAAGAUAGGGGUUGCGCUCGUUGCGGGACUUAACCCAACAUCUCACGACACGAGCUGACGACGGCCAUGCACCACCUGUGCACGACCCCGAAGGACACCGUAUUUCUACGGCUUUUCCGUGCAUGUCAAGCCUAGGUAAGGUUCUUCGCGUUGCAUCGAAUUAAACCACAUGCUCCACCGCUUGUGCAGGCCCCCGUCAAUUUCUUUGAGUUUUAACCUUGCGGCCGUACUCCCCAGGCGGAUAACUUAAUGCGUUAGCUGCGCCACCAAAAGCCCAUGGCCCCUGACAGCUAGUUAUCAUCGUUUACGGCGUGGACUAC